rnacentral:rRNA from 1 species
GACGUAGGGGGCCAGCGUUGUUCGGAAUUACUGGGUGUAAAGAGUUCGUAGGCGGUGUGGCAAGUCGGGAGUGAAAUUUCUGGGCUCAACUCAGAGACUGCUUCCGAAACUGCUGUGCUGGAGUGUGGGAGAGGGAUGCGGAAUUCCAGGUGUAGCGGUGAAAUGCGUAGAUAUCUGGAGGAACACCGGUGGCGAAGGCGGCAUCCUGGACCAAUUCUGACACUGAGGAGCGAAAGCCAGGGGAGCAAACGGGAGUUAG